rnacentral:rRNA from 1 species
AGAGUUUGAUCAUGGCUCAGAUUGAACGCUGGCGGCAGGCCUAACACAUGCAAGUCGAACGGUAACAGGAAGAAGCUUGCUUCUUUGCUGACGAGUGGCGGACGGGUGAGUAAUGUCUGGGAAACUGCCUGAUGGAGGGGGAUAACUACUGGAAACGGUAGCUAAUACCGCAUAACGUCGCAAGACCAAAGAGGGGGACCUUCGGGCCUCUUACCAUCGGAUGUGCCCAGAUGGGAUUAGCUAGUAGGUGAGGUAACGGCUCACCUAGGCGACGAUCCCUAGCUGGUCUGAGAGGAUGACCAGCCACACUGGAACUGAGACACGGUCCAGACUCCUACGGGAGGCAGCAGUGGGGAAUAUUGCACAAUGGGCGCAAGCCUGAUGCAGCCAUGCCGCGUGUAUGAAGAAGGCCUUCGGGUUGUAAAGUACUUUCAGCGGGGAGGAAGGGAGUAAAGUUAAUACCUUUGCUCAUUGACGUUACCCGCAGAAGAAGCACCGGCUAACUCCGUGCCAGCAGCCGCGGUAAUACGGAGGGUGCAAGCGUUAAUCGGAAUUACUGGGCGUAAAGCGCACGCAGGCGGUUUGUUAAGUCAGAUGUGAAAUCCCCGGGCUCAACCUGGGAACUGCAUCUGAUACUGGCAAGCUUGAGUCUCGUAGAGGGGGUAGAAUUCCAGGUGUAGCGGUGAAAUGCGUAGAGAUCUGGAGGAAUACCGGUGGCGAAGGCGGCCCCCUGGACGAAGACUGACGCUCAGGUGCGAAAGCGUGGGGAGCAAACAGGAUUAGAUACCCUGGUAGUCCACGCCGUAAACGAUGUCGACUUGGAGGUUGUGCCCUUGAGGCGUGGCUUCCGGAGCUAACGCGUUAAGUCGACCGCCUGGGGAGUACGGCCGCAAGGUUAAAACUCAAAUGAAUUGACGGGGGCCCGCACAAGCGGUGGAGCAUGUGGUUUAAUUCGAUGCAACGCGAAGAACCUUACCUGGUCUUGACAUCCACGGAAGUUUUCAGAGAUGAGAAUGUGCCUUCGGGAACCGUGAGACAGGUGCUGCAUGGCUGUCGUCAGCUCGUGUUGUGAAAUGUUGGGUUAAGUCCCGCAACGAGCGCAACCCUUAUCCUUUGUUGCCAGCGGUCCGGCCGGGAACUCAAAGGAGACUGCCAGUGAUAAACUGGAGGAAGGUGGGGAUGACGUCAAGUCAUCAUGGCCCUUACGACCAGGGCUACACACGUGCUACAAUGGCGCAUACAAAGAGAAGCGACCUCGCGAGAGCAAGCGGACCUCAUAAAGUGCGUCGUAGUCCGGAUUGGAGUCUGCAACUCGACUCCAUGAAGUCGGAAUCGCUAGUAAUCGUGGAUCAGAAUGCCACGGUGAAUACGUUCCCGGGCCUUGUACACACCGCCCGUCACACCAUGGGAGUGGGUUGCAAAAGAAGUAGGUAGCUUAACCUUCGGGAGGGCGCUUACCACUUUGUGAUUCAUGACUGGGGUGAAGUCGUAACAAGGUAACCGUAGGGGAACCUGCGGUUGGAUCACCU